CUUUUCCCGCACCGGUGGCCGGACUCUGCAUGAGUCACCGCCUGCCUGCAAGCCCAGAGCUCGCCGCACCCCCCUGCCUCUCCGCACCGUCCCACAGGCUGUGACCCUCCACCCAGCCAUAGACGGUUCUGCUCUUGGCACAAAGGAGGGCUUCUUAGCCGGGAAUAUGGCUGCCCGGGAGGGGCGACUUCUGUGCUUGUUUUUCCUUCCUGGCACUGAAAACAAGCACAUCCACCCAACAAAUAAAGACGCGGUCAAUGAAAGCAGCUGUGUUUCAAGGGGAGACAGGGAGCAAGCCAAGGAAUAAAUGAAAAGACCCAGUGACAAAAUGCCCAUUCAUCGGGUUCACUCGGCAAACAUUUACUGAAGCAUCUGUGUGCCAGGCACUGUCCUGAGUGCUGGGAAGACACAAAGAUGCCCUUCAGAACGAUGACCCCCGCCUCGCCCUCCGCUGGAACCGGGAGGCAGACACACACAUAAAUACGACACAGUCAACCGUCCCCAGUUCACAGCAUCUAAAGGAGCUAGGAAUGCAUGGGAUGCUUAUGGAAUGUGCGAGAACACGGAGACAAAGUCUCACUGUGUUCCCAGGCUGAUCCCCAACUCCUGAGCUCAAGCCAGCCACCAGCCUUGGCCUCCCAAAGUGCUGGGAUUACAGGCGUGAGCCACCACGCCGGGCCCAGAUGAACAGUCUUAUGAAUCAAUUUCAUUUCCAAGAGCCCUGUUGGACUUCAUGGCUGAGACAGAGCUGAGAGCAGAGAAAACAGACUCAUAAAAUCCUGGCAGAAUCUUUCCAUUCUAAUAGCACAAAAACACCUUUUGUGGAUGGGAAAGGACUCAGGACGUGAUCAGACUGGCCUGCUGAGAGUAUCAUAGGGAAGUGCUGGAUGGGUUCAUGGAAAGAAGUAUACACAGAUGAGGAACAGCAGAAAGGCAUGAGAAAAGAGGAAGGUAUGGAAAAGAGUGAAAUUGGCAUAAAAAAUCCAAUAAAGGGCAACGAGCAGGAAACAACAAAAACAUGGGAAACUGCCGACCUGAGGAAUCGCGCUCUUCUAACUUUACAGCUUCACCUGCCGUGUUUGCUCCUGGAGGACUGAGACUUUUGUCUGAUUCGUCUGCUGCUGUCUUCCCGAUGCCUAGAACACUGCCUGAUGCACGGGAAGUAUUUGUCAGAUACAUCCCAUGGCUUCUAAUGCCAUUUGCAAGGAUGAAAGCUGGGUGUGCCCGGCUGUACGGCAAUACUUCCAAAGGCCUGUAGGACUCCCCAGUGACUGUCCCAUUCACCAGGAGGAGGACUGCAGUCACCUGCAUUGUCCUGGGAAGGUCAGCCAGGCCUUUUCCCAAUGUCUGUCUGGGAAAAGCCCCGGUGUAGUCUGCUCGGUCCUACACCCAGAAUCACGGGGGCUUCAGGAGCAGGCAUUACGAGGCAAGGAGUAGCUUCUCCCCCUCACCUCCCACUCAGCAGAACGCACUAGCCCUGUGCUCUUCUGAUCCUGAAGGCAGCUGAGUCUGAAAAGUUCCUGUACCUUUAAAGGUACUAGAGGCAGUGUGGUGCCCACUCAGGAACUGCAUGAUUUAAAUAGGUUUCUAGGAUAAAGGCAACUCGUAGCACAAAGGAACAAGUCCCAGGGAGUGGCAUUCCAGAUCAUUUGAUUCCUGAGCGAAGGAAUUAUUAUGGUGUGGAGGUGGGGACCUCCUUACUACAUUCCAAAUUGCAAUAAGGUUGUAAGGGUUUUCUCUUCCAUUCUGAAGUACUUUGACAAUAGUUUUGAACUUCAAAAAUGUUUAUUAAAGGUGUUUUCACAGCAGUUUCAUAAUGUUUAAUUUGUUAAUUACUGGAAUUGAUGCUAAAUAAAACAGGCAAGUAAUACUUCAGAUGGCUUCAUCUUCAGAGUCUUCUUCAUGUGUGACUCAAAAUGCACAAUUUUGGCCGGGCACAGUGGCUCACGCCUGUAAUCCCAGCACUUUGGGAGGCUGAGACAGGCGGAUCACCUGAGGUCAGGAGUUUGAGACCAGUUUGGCCAACAUGGUGAAACCCCAUCUCUACUAAAAAUACAAAAAUUAGAUGGGCAUGGUGGUGUGUGCCUGUAAUCCCAGCUGCUUGGGAAGCUGAGGCAGGAGAAUUGAUUGAACCCAAGAGGCGGGGCUUGCAGUGAGCCGAGAUCCCGCUCCAGCCUGGGCAACAAGAGCGAGACUCCGUCUCAAAAAAAGAAAAAAAAAGCACAAUUUCAGGACAGCCUAAGCAAAUAAAAAAUGGGAAAUGGAAAUGGAUUCGAAGCAGGGAGGACGUUCCGCCCACUGUCACACCGAAGGAAUGGUGGAGGCUGUGAGUCCUCCGCCCACUGUCACACCGAAGGAUGGUGGAGGCUGUGAGUCCUCCUGUAAGCCGCCGCUGGAGAAGGGGCAGCUCUGGAACCUGACGACAUUCUCCUAUCUUGCAUGAGGUGGAGACAAAGAGUCCUUCUGCGCUGGGACAGGAUGAGGGCGAAGUGGUGACUUCAGGUCAGAAGCAGAGCCUUGGGGACCUCUGAUUCUCAAGGGCGAGCUCCCUCCAGAACCCCAAGAGAUGGCCCUGACUGCAUGGGAAAGCGUGUCUCACCAUUGCAAUGUUCUCUAAGUCUGGAGGAGGCGGAGCCCAGUGAGAAUGACAGGCAGACCGCAAGGAGGCCCGGAAGCCCCCCAUGGCGAGGAUGCAUCCAAGUGUAUUCUGUAGGAGUGACCAGUGGCCACGUGGGUAGUGGGCAGAGCUUGUUUUCCUCCAAUAUCAGCGUACAGAGCAGGGGAGCCUGGUGAAGGUUUCUCUCUGAAAUCAUGGAUUCAGCUGUAUUAGUUUCUAUCCAAGGCUGGCAUAGCUCACCUUCCACUCCAGCAAUGACCUCGGGCCAGCUGUCACGAGCCUUCUCACCACGAGGAUGGUCUGGGGUGGUGAGAUCUCACUGUUGGCCAUAAUUCAUUCAACAUUUCUUCACUUCUCUGCUUGUAAGUUUUCAUUUCCUCUGCAGCUGGUAGCUUCUGUCAUUUCUUUUCCUAUUUAUACCAGUCCUGAAUCAGCUUCUUUUUCAGAACCAUGCAUUUCUCUCGGUAGAGGUCG
rnacentral:lncRNA from 10 species